UUGAUAUUCUUCGCUCAGUUUUUUGGCUGUAAAACAGAAUCUGGAAAUUCUUGUUCUACACUUCUUGAUAUGACUAUGGGCGUUAUAACAUUUUGUACGAAGCAUCUUCAUACUAAAAAGAACAUGUUAUUUUUAUUACAACAAUGGACUGUUGAAUUUAAUUUCAACUAAAUGUAUUUUUGCGGUUUAUGAAGACUAUUGUAUGUAUUACUGAAGAUGGCCAGAUUGUGGCCGAAACGUUUAAUGUUUUAAUUAA